CAAUGCCAUUGACAAAAGCAAAUGAUUUCGGAUUGGGGGUAAAUGUCACCUCUAGUGAACGACUUUCAUCGACGGUAAUUAUGUAUUCUUUGACAAGAGUAACAAAAUCUUUCUGGAGGUUGAGAGAGACGCUGAAGUUGGAUAGAAGAGAGUGGUUUGCUGUAUGGACUGAGAAAAACGAGUUGUUCAUGUCAAGACUCUGGGAGUAGGUUGUUGGGUAAAAGUAGAGGCGUAGAAAUUUCUGACCAGCUCCAGAGACGGGGAUUUUAUAGGUGAAUUUGGAAGGGAAUACGCGAGCAGUUGAGUAAGGGAUUUGGUCGACGGAAGGAGGUGGUUCAGAUUGUGUGGAGCUUGUUGUUGAAGUGUUUGAGCUGUAUGGUGAAUCCGUGUUCCAUUGUCGACCAUCCGAAGAAUUAGUCUUGAAAGAUGCUCCACAGUUAAGGAGGAUAUUAUCGGUAGGAGUAUAGUUUGGCAACACGGCUGAGGAGAUGGCAAAAAACUGAGGGAGCAAAAGGAACGAGAGAUACAAAGAAAAACCAAGCAUCUUUCUUGUUAUGUUCCACAGAAUGCUUUUGUUUUGCUAUUUAUUAGAUCGGUUUGGCUAGUGUGUGCCCAUGGGCACACCAUAGAAAAACCGAACAUUGUUGGGAAAACAAACUAAAGCAUUUAAAGUCUUGGCCGUUGCUCUCACGGACGACUUCAAGUCUUCCAACACAAAUAAUAAUGCAGGCAGUCCAUGUGUGCUUAUUCUUCUGUAUGCAUAUUCUUUGUCUUCGUCUGUUGUAACUUGGAAUAAAAGUUUAUCUAUGGAGGAACGAAAUAACUUAUGGAAUAUCUUGUAUCUUGUACUCCCUCCGUCCCUAUUUAUCUAUCCACUUUGGAAGUAAAAGUUUGUCCCUAUUUAUCUGUCCAUUUAUACUUUCAAAACUAAUUUAAUGAUAGUUUUUCAAAUAUAUCUCCAUAAUUUCAAUUUUCAAGGCUUGACUUAUUUAAAACUUGGUUGAAUUCAUGUUUUCAAGACAUAAAGGAGAGGUAUUCCACCAUUUUCAAGAUAUUAAUUAGAGGUAUUUAAUAAAAAAUUUAUACAAUCAAUUAUUCCUUGGUAUGUGUUUUUUUUUCCAAAAUGGACAGAUAAAAAGGGACGGAGGGAGUAAUCUCUUAUAAAUGCUUUUUGCGUAUGAAAUACGGGUUUAAUUUAAAUUUUUCAAUCAUAUUUUAAAAACUUUAAACUAAUAAGAUUCUAAUUAAUAUACACAUAACGGUCAAUAUAAUAUCAAUACAUGUUCGCGGCAGAAGAAAAUGAAAUUCAACUACUGUCGAAAACACACUUUAAAGUAAUUUUAGAAAUGAAAAAAAAUAAAAAGAAACAAAAUCACCUAUCAAUCCAAGUUCUGGUAGGAACCAUCUUCUCAGAACUCUGGAGAUUGUCACAAGACAUAAUAGCAAAGUGCCCAGAAAGUAAUAGACAAAUUACAAUGAAAAAAACCUGCCAAGUAGCUUCAAAACUUCUAAAGGAUCAAAUUAGACCUAAAGAUCAAUCAUUUCGGAUGAAGAAAUAAUAUGAACUGCACCUAUAACAUUUUACUGAUCAACCAUAGGCCUGGCUUGGUAAAAGUAAAAACAACAUAAUUGUUUCUUACCUGAAAUCAAUGUCAAAUGUCUCCAAAAAAAUAAUAUCAAUGUCUGGAACGCAAAAAUCUCGAACAGCUCAGUAUAAAAACAAGGGUCUUUCUACAGCUACUUUUUGUUGAGGUGAAUGGUUUUUAUUGGUCAUGAUUUUUGUGCAUAUGCAGGGAGCCAUGAUUAUUAAUGAGUUUUAGCCGAUAAAAGUGCUCCACCUACUCAAAAAGUGGUUGUUAGUGUGUGUACAUGGGCACACACCAGAAAAUCCGUAAAAAUAGUAAUAUGUAGGGGUGAAAAUCAUAAAAGACUAAAAUUAUGCAAAAUCAAAGUCAAAACCAAGCUAAGAAGAGUAUGCAAUGUUUAAUUUCAAACUGUCGUUCGUUUUUGCAUGCUUAAACUUCCACAGUUAGGCACAGUAGACUUCAAAGUCUAGAACCCGUUUGUUUACUUAGAAGUUGAAGCUGUUUUGUUCUUCAGUUUUUUUUUAAUCCGUUUGUGUAAAUAACUAAAAACUCUAGAGACUUCUUAUUGUGCAAGUUGGGAUUUUUUCAUAUAAAAAAUUUUAUAUGCUGGCUUUAAGGAUUAAUGCAGUUUUAUAGUGUGUUGUUUAUAGCUAAAUGAGUUUUUAAUAAUGUUUUGAAAAUUGCUUUCUUGGGACAAAGUAUUAGCUGAGAUAUGAGGCGGCGUUGUACUUGGAUAUCCCGAAUCUUUGGCGUUUGGGUCAGGGCCAAUCUCAUGGCAGCUCGUUUUGUUUUGUGUUUUAGAUACAAAACUAGUGAAAAAAGCCGCGCUUCGCGGCGGCGUUAUAAAUUUUGUAUAAAUUUCGAUACGAAUUAAUAUUACAAUAACAUAAAAAUUAUUUUGAGUCAUCUUCCGGUUAAACAUAUCACUAAUAAAAAGUAACAUAAAAAUUAUUUUGAGUCAUCUUCCGGUUAAACAUAUCACUAAUAAAAAGUAUUAUAAUUAGUAUAAAAAUUUGUUUAGGUGGUCAUCCUGUCAAACACAAUACUAAUAAUAAAAUUAGUUCGAACCGCCAUCCCGUCAAAAACAAUAUUAAUCCAUAAUUAUUAUUUUUAUGAUAAAAUUAAAUAUUAUAAUUUAGAUCAAAAUUAGUUUGAACCGCUCUUUUGUCAAACACAAUACUAAUAACAAAACAUUAUAAUUUAAAUAUUAGUUUGAGUCCCCUUACUGUCAAAAACAAUACUAAUAAAAAUUAUUCUAAUUAUGAUAAAAUUUAAGAUUAUAAUUGGAUAAAAAUUAUUUAGAACCGUGUACACGUUUUAACAAAAAAAUAUAUUAUAACAUAGAUAAAAAAUUAUUUUAGCCACUUUCCCGUCGAACAUAAUACUGAUAGAAAAAUUAUUAUUAUUCAAAUAAAAAUUAGUUUGGGCCACCCCGCGUGCCCUUCAAACACAAUACUAAUCAAGAAUCACUUACUUUAUCAUAAAAUCAAUAUAUGAUUCCUAUUUUAUAUAUCCUAUUUUAUUUUAUGAUUCCUAUUUAUUAGUUAAAAAUUAUUAUUAUUUUAUGGUUGUAAUUUUUCUUUGCUAUUAGUUUUUUUUAAUGAUUAUUAUCUUUACAAUUCUUUAUUUUCUAUACAAAAUUUAAGAAAAUUAUAAGACUAAAUCGAAUAUAAAAAUUGUACGUAUUAUACGAAUCUUUAAUAUAAAUUGUAUUUUAUCUAUGAUUGUUAGUUUAAAUAAAUAUAAAAGUUAUUCGAAUUAUGAUAAAAUUAAAGAUUAUAAUUGGACAAAGAUUAUUUUGAACUGUGGUCCUGUUUUAGCAAAAAAUAUAUUAUAACAUAGAUAGAAAAUUAUUUUAGCCACUUUCCCGUCAAACAUAAUACUAAUAAAAAAAUUAUUAUUGCUUAGAUAAAAAUUAGUUUGGGCCGCCUCCCGUGCCCGUCAAACACAAUACUAAUCAAGAAUCAUUUUGAUUAUCAUAAAAUCAAUAUAUGAUUAGGUUAAAAUUUUAUUUUCAAUAUGAAAUAUAAUUAAAAAAAUUAUAAGACUAAAUUCAAUAAUUCUAGACACGCUGAGUUAAUAAAUUUUAUGAUUCGAACUACUAUUUAGACUCUUAAACACAGUUUUGAUUACGGACCUAGUAUUAGAUUAUUCUUCAAUAUAUAUUAUCGAAAAUAAAAUUUUAUAAUAUAAAAUUCAACUACGUACAUCUUCUAUGUAUCUUAUCGAAAAUAAGAAUUGUGCAUAUUACCUUACAAAUCUUAAAUAUAAAUUGUAUUUUAUUUAUUAUUGUUAGUUUGAAUAAAUAUAAUCCUAUUUCUUUUAGGAUUACUAAAUAAGAAAAGAAUUGUAUCAUCUUCAGAAUUCAAUAAGAAAUACUAAAUAAAAAAAAGAAUUGUAUCAUCUUUAGAAUUUAAUAAGAAAAGAAUUGUAUUAUUUUUAGAAUUCUUGAACCUGAUUUUUUGAAUUAUCGUUAUAUUUUCAAUCCGAAAUUUAAGAAAAAUUAGAAGACUGAAUCGAACAAUUCUAAAGACGCGCCAAGCGCGCGCAAUGGGCAAACUCGGACUCAGACUCGGAUAAGAUUGUGCCUUGCGUUGGAUGUUGGAUGCGACGUCGUGUUUUCAGUUAAAGCUCGGUUUUUUGUUACUCAAAAUAUGAGUAGCUUAAUCAAAAACAAUGAUAAAUAAAUAUGAGCAGAUUCAAUAACUAUUAACUAUUUUGUGUUUAAAUAGUGUUAUUGAAGGUGGAAAUCAAAUAAGAAAAGAAUUCUAUCUUCUUUAGAAUUUAAUCAGAAAAUAAUUGUAUUAUUUUUAGAAUCCUUGAACCUGAUUUUUUUUUGAAUUAUAGUUAUAUAAUUUCUAUCCGAAAUUUAAGAAAAAUCAGAACACUGAAUCGAACAAUUCUAGAGACGCCCGCAUCCUCCUUUAUAUAUAUAUAUUGAUUGAUGAUAAGUCUUAAGNNNNNNNNNNNNNNNNNNNNNNNNNNNNNNNNNNNNNNNNNNNNNNNNNNNNNNNNNNNNNNNNNNNNNNNNNNNNNNNNNNNNNNNNNNNNNNNNNNNNNNNNNNNNNNNNNNNNNNNNNNNNNNNNNNNNNNNNNNNNNNNNNNNNNNNNNNNNNNNNNNNNNNNNNNNNNNNNNNNNNNNNNNNNNNNNNNNNNNNNNNNNNNNNNNNNNNNNNNNNNNNNNNNNNNNNNNNNNNNNNNNNNNNNNNNNNNNNNNNNNNNNNNNNNNNNNNNNNNNNNNNNNNNNNNNNNNNNNNNNNNNNNNNNNNNNNNNNNNNNNNNNNNNNNNNNNNNNNNNNNNNNNNNNNNNNNNNNNNNNNNNNNNNNNNNNNNNNNNNNNNNNNNNNNNNNNNNNNNNNNNNNNNNNNNNNNNNNNNNNNNNNNNNNNNNNNNNNNNNNNNNNNNNNNNNNNNNNNNNNNNNNNNNNNNNNNNNNNNNNNNNNNNNNNNNNNNNNNNNNNNNNNNNNNNNNNNNNNNNNNNNNNNNNNNNNNNNNNNNNNNNNNNNNNNNNNNNNNNNNNNNNNNNAGCCCACAAAAUAAGAGUAUUGGCGUCCAGAAUUAUUUAAAAAUAAUCUACUCGUUUCAAUUUUAAUUUUUUUAGUCUACAAUAUUUGUAAACAUCUGACAAUUUGCAGGUUUUGUUCCACAAUAUAAUCAUUGCAAUCAAAAGAUAAAACAAUUAUUUUAUAAAUCACUAAACAUUAUAUAUGUUCUAAAAUAUAACUCAUAAGUAGAAUAAUGAUCUCAAUGAUUGUUAAUGUUGAAAAAUGUUAAUGAUUAAUAGAUAAUUAUAUAUUUAAAACUACUAAAAGAUGGUAAAUUACAUAUAAAUUUGAAUAAUUAAAGAUAUUAUUUAUGAUUAAACUAAAAGAUUAUGACUAAUACUUACUGCGGAUUAAAUGCGGCGGACUUUAUGGAACUUAACUCUGACAGUAUGUUUUAUUUUAGUAAAAUCACUAUGUUGUUUGAUGAUUUUUAAAUUGUAAAAAUAAUAUUCAAGAUCAGCACAUAUAAGUUCGUUUAUAGCGUCUUUAAUCUUGAACAAAAAGUCAAAAUUCUAAGUCGCGAUUAUUUUAUUCAUUUAAUAGGCAAACAUUAUAUAUAAUUCUAGUUGGAGUUUUUGUAGAUCUAACAGUUGUUAUAGUUGUUUGAUAAACUAAUAUUGUAGUUUGACAAAAUUAAUUAACUUUCCAAAAGUAAUUUGAUAUCAAAUAUUUUGACUUAUGUCUAGAGUUUCGGUUCCUUUAUUAUAUAUUGUAAUAUGGACAAUGACUCCAUUUUUUUUAGAUUCUAUUUGGCAAGUCAGUGUUACCACCGUCUUAGUCGUUUUUAUCACAAUAUUUAGAAAAACACUGAAUGAUAAUAAUUAUUAUCAUCAAAAAAUAAAUGAUCAAGUUUUUUGGUACUUUGGUAUCAAUAUUGAAUCUUGUUUAUUAUAAUUCUGAAAUAUGAUAAAAAUUUUAUAGAUUUGUUUCGUAAAUUAAAUUGUAUGAGUUUUAAAAAUUAAAAAGAAUAUUUGACGUAUGUGAGUUUCGAUUCUUUUAUUAUAUGUUGCAAUAUGGACAAUGACUUUAUUUUUUUAGUUUCUAUUUGUCAAGUUAGUGUUACCACCGCCUUAUUCGUCUUUAUCGUAAUCUUCUAGAAAACAUUGAAUGAUGAUAAUAAUUAUUAUUAAAAAUAUAUAUUACCAAGUUUUUUGGUACUUUAGUAUCAAUAUUGAAUCUUGUUUAUUUUAAUUCUGAAAUAUGAUAUUAAUUUUAUAAAUUUAUUUUGUAAAUUAAAUUGUAUGAUUUUUGAAAAUUAAAAUGAAUAAUUUCGUUGACAUUAUUAUAUUAUUGAUAGGAAAUUAUAUUAAUAUCAAUAUGAACUCCUUAUUUAUUUGAACUCUGAAGUAUGCUAAAAGUUUUAUAGAGUUGUUUCGUAUAUUAAAUUAUUUGAGUUUUAAAAAAUUAAAACAAAUAAUUUAGUUGGUAAUAUGUUUUUAUUAGUGAUAAUUCAAAAUCAUGUCAAAUAUAGAAGUUUUUUGAUAAUAGUAAUAAUUGUUAAAUAAAAAAUAAUAUGAUAGCCAAAUUUUGAUACGAAUUUUAUAGAACUGUUUUAUAAGUGCGGAUAUGAUAAAUGUUAUAUUACAAAAUCCUAAACACUAUAGAAGUCUAUUUAUAGUAGUAUAAUAAUCUUAACCAAAAUUGAAAUUUUUAAUAAUAAAUUCCGAAUCAAUAUAGAAGUCUUUUCAUAAAAUUCUAAUCAAUAUAGAAGUCUUUCACUGUCCUAAUGAAUAUUGAGGUCUUUAAUAAUAAAAUUCUAUUCAAUAUAGAAGUCCUUUGAUAAUAGUAUAAUAAUGACUAUAAAAUCCUAAUCAAUAUGAAAGUGACCAAAUUUUGGUACUUUUGUACCGAUGUUCCACUGAAACGUGAUUUCGCUUAUUAAUGAAGGGUAUUGAUUUGGUAUUGAAUUACAACUACAUUCCAAUAAUUGGGUUAAAUAGCAUUUUCAUCACUCAACUGACACCCAACUUGCAAGUGGAUCAUCGAACUCAAAAAAUUUACAAACGAAUCAUUAAACUCAUUACAACUUUCAAUCAGGUCACUAAACACUUACAAAUUUUUACGGCCGUUAAGUCAUCUUUGACCUUAACAGAAUUCGUUAAAUUGUCAUAUGACAAGAUCCAAAUAAGCAACCACGUCAACAGAUACCCAUAUAACUUGACCCGAUCCACUCCAUUAAAUCAGGUGACAAUACUCGUAAACCAUCAAGUUCUAAACAAUCACAUCUCUUUUGAACAUUUCAUCAGUUAAGAAUGGAUCUAUUGCCCAACACCACCAUCUUCACCUAAACCCCUGGGAAGCAUCCCCAACCACAACAUUGCUACUUUUCACUUCCAUAUUCUCCCUAAUUCUCAGCUCCUCAACCCCGAACCCCACCCCACCCCACCCCACCCCACCCCCCUCUCCUAAAAAACCCUCAAAAUCUCCUCAAUUUUACUAUUAUCAAGCAUCGUACUUCUCUCCUCUUGCACCAUACAAGUCUCGACUCUUUCAGCCUCAUCUCCACCUUAUCGAUCUUUUUGGUCUUCGAUUCUUUCACUGAGAUUUUUGGGACAAUGGGAUUGGUCUUCAUGGUCUCAAGCUUCUUGGAGGCUUUGUCGUUUGUUGAUUUGAGUGAUUUGUAGGAGCUUGUACAAUAGAUAAGACCCACGAGAUAGCUUCACAUACGAUGGAUGUACAAAUUCAAAGCUAUCUCUUUGCGGGCGUGAAGAUGAUGAUGCAUAUGUAUAUUAAUUAAUUUUAGUUUACUCUAUAUUGUUAAUUAGGAAAAGGGUUUCAUCAAUACCCUUUAUUAAUAAGCGAAACCACAUUUCGGUGAAACAUCGGUACCAAAAGUACCAAAAUUUGGUGACUUUCACAUUGAUUAGGAUUUUAUAAUCAUUAUUAUACUACUACAAAAGACUUCUAUACUGAAUAGAAUUUUAUUAUUAAAGACUUUAAUAUUCAUUAGAACAAUGAAAGACUUCUGUAUUAAUUAAAAUUUUAUUAUUAAAGACGUCAAUAUUGAUUCGGACAAUGUUAUAUAAUUUUUUUGUUUAAUAACAAUAAUCAUUAUAGAAUUAUGAAAAAAAUUUCAUAUUGUUAGGAUUUUAUAAUUACUAUUAUACAUUUUUAGAAUUUUAUAAUUAUUAUACAAUUAUGAAAAGACUUCUAUAUUGAUUCGGAUUUUAUUAUUGAAAAUUUCAAUAUUAGUUAAGAUUUUAUAAUUAUUAUUUAAUUCUAUAAAAAUACUUCUAUAGUGUUUAGGAUUUUGUAAUAUAGCAUUUAUCCUGUCCGCACAGUUAAAUCGCCAACAAUUUAACUUAUGAAACAGUUCUAUAAAUUUCAUAUCAAAAUUUGGCUAUCAUCAUAUUAUUUUUUAUUUAACAAUUAUAACAAUUAUCUCACUAAUAAAAAUAUAUUAUCAACAUAAUUAUUUGUUUAAUUUUUUAAAACUCAAAUAAUUUAAUAUACGCAACAACUCUGUAAAUCUUUUAUCAUACUUCAGACUUCAAAUAAAUAAGGAGUUCAUAUUGAUAUUAAUAUAAUAUCCAUAUAUAGUUUUUAUCAAUAAGCGGAAUCAAUAUCAUCAAAAUACUAAAUAUCAAAGUACCAAAAUUUGAUUAUUAUCAUAUAUUUAUUAAUAAUUAUUAUUAUUAUCAUAUAACUAUGGGAAUACUUUCAUGUAUGAUCAGAAUUUUUGUAAUAUAAUGAUUAUCACACCAACAAAAUUACUGUCAACAAAGCUACUCAUUUUAAAUUUUAAAACUCAAAUAAUUUAUUUUAUAAAAUAACUUUAAUUUGGUUAUCAUCAUAUAAUUUUUUUAUUCGGCAGUAAUAAUAAUAAUUAUUAUUAUCAUUCAGUGUUCUUCAGAAGAUUGCAAUAAAGUCGAAUAAGGCGGUGGUAACACUGAAUUGACAAAUGGAAACUUAAAAAAAAUGAAGCCAUUGUUCAUAUUGCAACAUAUAAUAAAAGAACCGAAACACAUGUGUCAAAAUAUUUGAUAUCAAAUUAGUUUUGGAAAGUUAAUUAACUUUGUCAAACUACAAUAUUAGUUUAUCAAACAACUGCAACACCACGGUUAGAUCUGCAAAAACUUCAACUAGAAUUAUAUAUAAUGUUUGUCUAUUAAAUGAAUAAAAUAAUUGUGAAUUAAAAUUUUAAAUUUUUAUUCAAGAUUAAAGACGCUAUAUACGAACUUAUAUGUGUUGAUCUUUAAUAUUAUUUUCGCAAUUUAAAAAUCAUCAAACAACAUAGUAAUUUUAUUAAAAUAAAACAUACUGUUAGAAUUAAGUUCCAUAAAAUCCGCAUUUAAGCCGUAAUAAGUACUAGUUAUAAUAUUUUAGUUUAGUCAUAAAUAAUAGACUUAAUUGCAGGAGGAUGGCGUCAACUAUUUUUUUUUGGCACAAAAGCGACCCAAAUAUAAAACCAGACAUUGUGAUGGCCUAACUAUUUUUUUUAAACACAUGAGUAUUCAAUUUAUGAUUUAAUUACAACAUGAUGGUCGAACAAUGUUUUUUUAACACAAAAAUGGCCUAAAAAUAUAAAUAAACAACAUUUUUUAGACUAAUUUAGACGGAAUGCAAUCAUCUGCUUAGGAAAAAAUCUGAGCCAUUUCUGUGAGAAAAAAUAAAAGUUGAGGCCAUCUUCCUGCAAUUAAGUCUAAAUAAUAUCUUUAAUUAUUCAAAUUUUAUAUAUAAUUUAUCAUUUUUAAGUAGUUUUAAAUAUAAUUAUCAAUUAAUCAUUAACAUCUUUCAACAUUAACAAUCAUUAAGAUCAUUAUUCUACUUAAGAGUUAUAUUUUAAAACAUAUAUAGUGUUUAGUGAUUUAUAAAAUAAUUGUUUUAUCUUUUGAUUGCAACGAUUAUAUUGUAGAACAUAAACUCCAAAUAUUAUUAAAUAAUUUUGGACUCCAACACUCUUAUUAUAUGGACUCCUUUGAAUAGGAAUUUAUAUUGUUAUAAAAUAAAUUUAAAAUAUGAUCAAAUUUUAAUAUAUAAAGUCUUAUAUUAAAUAACAAUAAUUCAAAUGUCAUUUAAAAACAAUGAUUUAAAUAGGUAUAAUAAAAAUAUGAUAGUGUAAUUAAAAAAAGACAUUAUUUUUCUAAUAAAUAAUAAAUUUUAAAAUUUUAGUCAAAUCCGUGCCUGGCACGGUUAUCAACCAGUAUAUAUAAAACAAAAUUACCUUAAAAAUACUAAAACUCUUUAUUGUGGGUAGGCCUCAGAGUUGCAUCUGCCUCUUAAGCCGAAUACCAAUUUUAUGAGUCCCUGCUCUUCCAACCCUAUCUAUCGUGCUUUCAUGUUAAAAAUUUCAGAGAAAACACUUCCAAUUCCAGACUUGAAUCUACCACUUCUAGCACCACUGGUCACACUACUUGUGCUUGAGAAGAGUUUGUGAUAGAUCUUGGCAAUGUAGUCCCUGGCAUCACUCAGGAGAUGAACAUUUUGAUCACCUAGAUUAGAGUGCACAUCUUGGUCCAACCUCUCCCAAGACUCUUGAAGCUGCAAUGCAAAUUCGAGGUUCCAAAGAACAUCGCUCAUGCUCGGCCUAUCAGUCCCUUGUUCUCUGAGACAACUAUAUCCUACUUCUCCAAACUUGUUUAAACUCUCCACUGCAAUCUCACCUAUUAAAUUUUUAUCCACUAUUUCCACCAAGUUGCCUUCCCUGUAACAAUUUCGAGCCCAGUAGGCUAAAUUCACUUCUUCCAUCGGCAACUCUGGCAUAAUCGCUGGCCUAGCACACAACACUUCAAACAACACCACUCCAAACGAAUAAACAUCUGAUUUGCAAGUUAUGUGCUUCCUUUUGUAAUAUUCAGGAUCCAAAUGUCCGAAACUCCCCUUCACUAUUGUGCUAAUAUGUGUGACUGUCGGGUCGCGUGGACCCACUCUAGACAAACCGAAAUCAGAAACCUUGGCAACCAUAUUCUCGUCCAACAGAAUAUUUGUUGACUUGACAUCACGGUGAAUUAUCAUCCGUUCAACACCUGAAUGUAGAUAAUGCAAUCCUUUUGCCGCACCAAUGCAAAUUUGUAGCCUUUGCUUCCAAGACAACGGGUGAUUAUUUUUGCCAUAAAGAUGACUACUGAGGGUUCCAUGAACCAUAUAAUCAUACACCAGUAUCAUCUCCGCGCCAUCAUUACUGUAUCCGAUCAGGGGCACAAGAUGAAGGUGUCGCAAAUUUGAUAGCAUCUUUAUCUCCGUUUGGAACUCGUGAAACCCCUGUCGUGAUGAUGGAUUCAACCUCUUGAUCGCGACUGUGCAUACACCGUUCUCCAAAUACCCUUUAUACACGUUACCAAAGCCUCCUCUUCCAAUGAUAAAAUUGUCAUCAAAGUUGCCAGUAGCUAGUUUUAUCUCUUCCAAAGAGAAUUUCUUGCUCCUAACAGACGGAAAUGAUGAAAUAUUAUUGGUAGUUGAUCUUGACUUGUGAUCAAUGUCCUGAGAUCUAGGUGUUCUUCGCUUGUGUAGUAGAAAACCAACUAGUAUUAAUGAAAACAGAAUUAGUCCCCCGAGUGAACCUCCAAUACAAAUGCUUACAAGUGGACCUCUCUUUUGGACAUGUCUAGAUUUUACUGUUUCCGGUGGAAGAGCUGGCUCAAGUGAUUCGGGAUUGGGUGCAGCAAGGGUAUCUCCUUUACUCAACUUAAAAAUCUCCAGCCCAUUCAAAAUUGCAUUUUUGUAGUGAGGAUUAUCUUCCAUGUUAGGGUACAAUGCAAGCCACAAAUCUGUCUUGGAGUUGCUACCAUCUAGGUUGUCACUGACAUAUGCGACGUAGUCUUUAUACACCAUAAUUCCUCUUCCGCCCGUCCAUUUAAUAACAUCUGCUUGUUCCUCGGCUGUCUGAUUGUUGAUGAAAAUGUAAAAUACUCGGUAAUUACUGUCAAUUAUUUCCCUUAGGAACUCACAAAAAUGAAGUCUAAGUAGAUAAUAAAACCCAGAAUCCACUGUAAAGACCCAAGUCAAUUUGGAGCCAUAACUCUCUAAAUUUAUAGUCCGGGCACUGUAGUAAACAAUCUCAGGGGCCGUGUAGGGUGGAGUGUCUGACGUAUAUUUGAUUGGAAUUUUGAGAGUUGGUGUUAAUCCAAGAGAGCCGAGCAAAUAUGGCUCGUCUCUGUCCCAUGAGCGAAACAUUCCAGUAUCAUCGGUUGAGGAAAUGUCACCAGUUUCGCCUACGUUUAGCCGGUAGAGAUUUUCCAGUGCAAUGGAAUCAUCAAUCGGAAAGCCAUCUUGAUCACCCAAGAAUUUAAUGACAUGUUUGCUAUCAUCAAUUCCUUCACUGUAGAGCUUGUCCGGUAUGGAAACAACUUCAAUGCCAUUGACAAAAGCAAAUGAUUUCGGAUUAGGGGUGAAUGUCACCUCUAGUGAACGACUUUCAUCGACGGUAAUUAUGUAUUCUUUGACAAGAUGAGGUAAAUCCUUCUGGAGGUUGAGAGAGACGCUGAAGUUGGAUAGAAGAGAGUGGUUUGCUGUAUGGACUGAGAAAAACGAUUUGGUCAUGUCAAGACUCUGGGAGUAGUUUGUUGGGUAAAAGUAGAGGCGGAGA
rnacentral:lncRNA from 1 species